GUGGGGAAUCUUGCGCAAUGGGCGAAAGCCUGACGCAGCCAUGCCGCGUGAAUGAUGAAGGUCUUAGGAUUGUAAAAUUCUUUCACCGGGGACGAUAAUGACGGUACCCGGAGAAGAAGCCCCGGCUAACUUCGUGCCAGCAGCCGCGGUAAUACGAAGGGGGCUAGCGUUGCUCGGAAUUACUGGGCGUAAAGGGCGCGUAGGCGGACAGUUUAGUCAGAGGUGAAAGCCCAGGGCUCAACCUUGGAAUUGCCUUUGAUACUGGCUGUCUUGAGUACGGGAGAGGUGAGUGGAACUCCGAGUGUAGAGGUGAAAUUCGUAGAUAUUCGGAAGAACACCAGUGGCGAAGGCGACUCACUGGCCCGUUACUGACGCUGAGGCGCGAAAGCGUGGGGAGCAAACAGGAUUAGAUAUCCUGGUGUCC
rnacentral:rRNA from 1 species